rnacentral:rRNA from 1 species
CCUACGGGAGGCAGCAGUGGGGAAUAUUGCACAAUGGGGGAAACCCUGAUGCAGCGACGCCGCGUGAGCGAUGAAGGAUUUCGGUAUGUAAAGCUCUAGCAGCCGGGAAGAAAAUGACGGGAACUGACUAAGAAGCCCCGGCUAACUAAGUGCCAGCAACCGCGGGAAUACGUAGGGGGCAAGCGGUAGCCGGAAUUACUGGGUGGAAAGGGAGCGGAGGCGGGUGAGCAAGGUAGAUGUGAAAGCCCGGGGCCCAACCCCGGGACUGCAUUUGGAACUGUGUGGCUGGAGUGUCGGAGAGGCAGGCGGAAUUCCUAGUGUAGCGGUGAAAUGCGUAGAUAUUAGGAGGAACACCAGUGGCGAAGGCGGCCUGCUGGACGAUGACUGACGUUGAGGCUCGAAAGCGUGGGGAGCAAACAGGAUUAGAUACCCUAGUAGUC